UAAAGGCAGCAGUGGGGAAUAUUGCACAAUGGGCGCAAGCCUGAUGCAGCCAUGCCGCGUGUAUGAAGAAGGCCUUCGGGUUGUAAAGUACUUUCAGUCGUGAGGAAGGUGUUAAGGUUAAUAACCUUAGCAAUUGACGUUAGCGACAGAAGAAGCACCGGCUAACUCCGUGCCAGCAGCCGCGGUAAUACGGAGGGUGCGAGCGUUAAUCGGAAUUACUGGGCGUAAAGGGCACGCAGGCGGUUAAUUAAGUUGGAUGUGAAAUCCCCGGGCUUAACCUGGGAAUGGCAUUCAAGACUGGUUAGCUAGAGUCUUGUAGAGGGGGUAGAAUUCCAUGUGUAGCGGUGAAAUGCGUAGAGAUGUGGAGGAAUACCGGUGGCGAAGGCGGCCCCUGGACAAAGACUGACGCUCAUGUGCGAAAGCGUGGGGAGCAAACAGGGAUUAGAUACC
rnacentral:rRNA from 1 species